UUCGGUGUGAGGAGAAAUGUAGAAAAGCGUUUGGGGUCGAAACACGGCAAGACUCCCAGGCGCUUUUCUCAUUA
rnacentral:sRNA from 17 species